rnacentral:rRNA from 1 species
UACGGAGGAUGCAAGCGUUAUCCGGAAUGAUUGGGCGUAAAGCGUCCGCAGGUGGCUAUGUAAGUCUGCUGUUAAAGAGUCUGGCUCAACCAGAUAAAGGCAGUGGAAACUACACGGCUAGAGUGCGUUCGGGCAGAGGGAAUUCCUGGUGUAGCGGUGAAAUGCGUAGAUAUCAGGAGGAACACCGGUGGCGAAGGCGGCUGCCUGGCCUAGAACUGACGCUGAGGUCGCGAAAG